UUCCUUUAUAAACAAGUAGAACAUUUAUUAUCAUAUWACUCGWUUAGAAAAUAUUAUAAGUCUAUAUAAAAUAUAACAUAAUCAUAUACAGUAUUUAUUUAACCGUACGUAUUUGUAUUGCAUGAUCGCAUUAUUUACAACUAGAUAUGGAAUAAUGAAUCRGACAUCGUGUGUAUUAUUUGUAUAAAUGGACGACAACUGCAGGAAGAAGAAACGCGAGUUUUUUGAAGUUAAUGUCCAUGCUGUAACGGACACGCUAGACCUAUCUGUUUCGCCAUUUAUGGGGAUAAAAUGCCGUUCAUUACGUCGGAUGCAAGGACCUUGGGCGUUUCGAUCGAUACCCCGAAAUUAUAUGAACUUGCCAUACAACAUAACAACUUAUCAACAAUUGGUGGUGUAUGGAUCUUCGAAAGCAUGGCCGUCAUUUCUAAUACAGAACCUCAGUGAAAUAGUCGUCAGACCUCGACGGUCUGGGGGAUAUAAGUCACUUUGGAGACGGUCCAAAAAGUUCCUUAGAAACUGCGUCGCAAGYGUCAGAUGCCAAGUUUGUUUCUGCCUGUGAAUUUAUGACUCRUGGCCCCUAUGCAUAAACUAUCUACAGGAUGUUUUAUUGGUCAGUUGGAUAACCGGAUAACAAGAAUGUGCAGCCGCUGAAACGUUAGUGCCAUCUAUAUGUAGCUCGGCCGUCGUCUCGUCAGUGGUCUCUUAAAC